CUACGGAACUCCUACGGGAGGCAGCAGUGGGGAAUUUUGGACAAUGGGGGCAACCCUGAUCCAGCCAUGCCGCGUGAGUGAUGAAGGCCCUAGGGUUGUAAAGCUCUUUUACCUGGGAAGAUAAUGACGGUACCAGGAGAAUAAGCCCCGGCUAACUUCGUGCCAGCAGCCGCGGUAAUACGAAGGGGGCUAGCGUUGUUCGGAAUCACUGGGCGUAAAGAGCACGUAGGCGGAUCUUUAAGUCAGGGGUGAAAUCCCGAGGCUCAACCUCGGAACUGCCUUUGAUACUGGGGAUCUCGAGUCCGGGAGAGGUGAGUGGAACUGCGAGUGUAGAGGUGAAAUUCGUAGAUAUUCGCAAGAACACCAGUGGCGAAGGCGGCUCACUGGCCCGGAACUGACGCUGAGGUGCGAAAGCGUGGGGAGCAAACAGGAUUAGAUACCCCUGUAGUCCUCUUCGA
rnacentral:rRNA from 1 species